UGCCAGGGAAUAAUUUUCUCAUGGAUGCAUGAACCUCAGCAUAAUGAGCAAUGAUGAAAAACGCAAAACAUCAGCAACUUUCUGUCACAUGUAAGAGCUGGAAACAAAACUGUUGCUACAGUGACAAAGAGCAUCCUGUCAUAGGCUGCUUGUGGAUGUGAAUGGCCACAAAAUGAUUACAUAAGGGACUGCACAAUUUACAACGCUGGCAGCACAAAUUACAUACCAAUAGAAUAAAAGGAAUAUCCUUUCACAAGUCCAAGCAACACAAACAUGCACAUCCCCCACAAGAAUAACUCUGUUUAUUCCCACCAGUUUCCUAUCAGCUGACAACAGCUCUGGUACCUGAAUAACAUGUUCACAUCUGGGUGAGCAGAAGAUGCUGACAGAAAAGGGAAAGUUCGGAGACAUCUUGGGUACAAUGUAUGAAGAGAACGCAGUGUGGGUAAAUCCAAAUUACUGUACGACACCCAACUUUUCCACUGCAGUUCUGAAUCCACAGCCUUGGAUUCUAGAAUAGAUUACCUCGGAAUCUAGCUGAGGAUUAGCAAAUGGGUCACAGCCAUCAACGUUUUAGUCACUUUUUUUCCAUAUUUUAUUUUGCCUUAGAAUACAGUUUAUAAACAGAAACGUUAUUAAGUUUUGUAAAGUUAACCUUUGCAGAUUGUUACAUUUUUUAAAUCAACAUCAAAUCAGGGAGCUUUUGAGUUAAUAAGAAGAGAGAUCUUCAGACUGGAGAUAUAUAUAUUUUUUAAUCUGAGACCAAAAGAGAUGCGUACAUCCAUGUAACAUUUUGAAGACUGUGAAACAGCCAAAUGACAGCGCUGAGUACGCCCUUGUGUGGCUGAACACACAUCAAACCUUCUGCAUUGUGUAUGCAUUCUAAAUUCACUUGGGCAGGUAAAUAGCUGUAAAAGCCUGAAUCUCUGCUUCCAUUUGAUUGCAGUAUCACAGAAUUCUGGCUAGAAGACAGACAGCAUGUAAAGCCAAUAUUAAAAAUGUUACCUGCCCACCAUCUUAUGCAGCUGCAUUCUGAAACAGAAAGUCAGCAUUCAGUAGCAUGUAUGUCAUGACUGCAGCAAACUACCACGUACAACCAAAAUGUUUAUUUCAGCCUUGGUUCAAAAAUGUCUCCUUAUAUUUGCUUAUGAUUCCACGUUUCACAGAUGCGGCUUCUAAGAAAGAUCAUAAACAGAAAGCUCUGUGAUAAAACUGCUGUUUGCACAUCUUAAAACAACUUCAUAAUCACUUCAGUUUGCUAGUUUUGCUCUCUAUAUGAAGCAGUUAUGGGAGAGCACAAAAUCAUUGAUUGGCUUAGUUUGGAGGGGACCUUAAAAACCAUUUAACUUCAACUCCAGGCAGACUUGACAAUCACUAGAUCAGGCUGCCCAGGGUCCCAUCCAACCUGGCCUUCAAUAUGCCUCCAGAGAUGGAGCAUCCACAGCUCCUCUGCACACUGUUCCAGCACCUCAUCACCCUGUCAGUUAAAAACGUAUUCCCAGCAUCUAAACCUCUUUUAGUAAAAAGCCAUUCCCCUGUGUCCUGUCAUUACCAUACAGUACUAAAAGUCAGUCCUCCUCCUCCUUGCAAGCUCCCUCCAAGUACCAGAAGCCCUUUGAUGAUUUGUGCGAGUCCUCUAGACUCGCUUCAACAGUUAUGCAUCCUUCCUGUAUUGGGGGCCCCAGGCUUGGACACGGUAUUCCAGAUAGGGCCUCACAAGGGCAGAACAGAGUGGGACAAUCCAAAUCCCAACCCAGUAUGAAGACAAGAGGCAUGGAGCACUGCACUACAGAUGAGAUUUAUGAUGAAACUGAUUCUCUUCCCAAACUACCUCUGAGAAAAAAAAAGAAUCUGCAGGUAGCCUGGUAUGCUCCCAUCCAGUAUUUGGGACUCCAAACAUAAAAUACCCAAGCCUUCGAGUCAGACACGUGGCAAGAAGUUAUCGGGCAGUUUACACUACUCAGAGGCAGAAGCUGAGGUAACUUCACAGCAGGAAUAUCAGUGUCCAAGUCUGAAAGAAACUGCCCAGGCUGUUACAGUAAAUGACUUUUAUUUAAAAAAAUGAAAUAACCGUGAACAUAUUAACAGGCCUGCAGGUGGCACUACAGUACAGCUGGAUAUAAGGUAGAUAUAUUUCCCCACGUACCCAGACAAUGAAAUCCAUUGCAUCAACGCUGACAUUAGUAAAAUCUGAAUACGGUUCUAUCAAGCAGGAACAUUUUACUUAAAAUAGUUCUGGACAAAGUUGAUACCUGAAGGAUAACUUUUCCUUCAUUUUUGGAAAGGAUAAAUGUUUUCAGCUAGCACUGGUACUGGAAAAACUAUUGCCUGUAGUUACCAGUGCAGGUAGAGAUGUACAACAUCUCUACAUGAGAACAGAGUUCCAACUCCUUUUUACUUCUCAUUCUGUGGAAGCAGCAGGGAGACAGAAGAAGAUGAGUGAGGAAUAUGGGUAAGGAAGGUGGGUUGUCAAUUUCUAUUCACACUCCUUUGGCUGUUUUUGUGCUAUUCUGGACUGCUUUCUAAAAAUCACUUCUUGAUUUUAUUAAAAGGAAGACUAAAUGUAAUAUGCCUUUCCUUGAAAAUCCAAGAACAGUUGUGGUACUUCAAAAAUACUAAAAAUAUCUACUUUCAUGAAAUAUUAACUGUUUAACUACAAACCUAGUUUUUCACUAAAUACACAAUUCUCCUGUUUCUGGAAUCUCCUGGGAGAAAAAAAAAAAAAAAGUGUGUUCUCCCUUUAGUUCUGCAACUCUACAGUGUAUAGGGAAGUGGCUGCAAGAAGGGGAGUGCAGAGAAUAGCUCUGUUUCCUUGGCCUGUAUCUCAUGUGGGAAAUUUACUUAAAUUUCUGCAGUUGGGCUACUGUUACUCACACUCUUUCAGCAGCUACCAGCUAAGUCUGCAGUAGGAUGACCCACCUCCAGCAAACUUUGCUACCUUUAGAGACUAACUAGGCAUGAGGAAAAACAUCCACACUCUUUUCACCACUUCUGACCAUAAUACGUAGGAACACCAAGUAGGUUCCAUGUUCUUCCAAUUUGCAAAAGGCCACAAGAAAGGGACAUGGCACCUUUCAUUAGAAUCUGGAAUUCCACAUGUAGAAGUGCAACCUUCCAUUAGACCUUCAGUGUUGAGGCAGCGUAGAAAACAGUAGCUGAAGAGUGUAUAAUAUGAACCACACCAGCUCUCAGUGUGAAGCCUCUACUCCUGCAGAGGCAGACAGGUGUAGUCCCUGUAUAUACUGUGAGUAAAAGGCUUACUUCACAGGGUGCUUGGACUUCGCAGUUCCUAUGAUCUAGCUAGUUUGGAUUCAUGAGCUUUCAGUGUGCCAACAGCAUCUUUCACUGCAUGGUAGAUAAUGUUCUUCACCUGUAAUUUAUCCUCAUGGUUUGUAUGAGUAUUAGACAGGUGCCUGAACUCCUGGGUCAGACGGAAGCAGUGCUUCACAUGUUCUGGAGAUACAAAAUCUUCUGCCACUUUA